AAGUCGUAACAAGGUUUCCGUAGGUGAACCUGCGGAAGGAUCACUACUGAGAACCUGCCCCCCGGGUAGAAUCUCCCACCCUGUGCCUCUAUGUACCUUGUCGCUUUGGCGGGCUCGCGCCCGCCGGAGCACACCCAAACCCCGAAUGCUGUCGUCCGAGUACUAUCUAAUAGUUAAAA
rnacentral:misc_RNA from 1 species